rnacentral:rRNA from 1 species
AUCACCAGGUUUGAUUCUGCCUGACGUGGGCGCUAGUCUCACAGAUUUAGCCAUGCAUGUGUAAGCGAAGCUUUUAGUGGAGCGGUGAAAGGCUCAGUAGCGGGCGAUUUAUUUGUUCUCCUGUGACGGACAACAUCGGGAAACUGAUGGGAAAACGUCUAAGUUGCAGUUAAUUGAUUGUGACGUAAACGAUAUUGUGCAGGAGAGUAAGAUGCCAUCCUAUCAGUUAGUAAGUAGGGUAAGGGCCUACUUAGACGAAGACGGGUACGGGGAAUGAGGGUUUGAUUCCGGAGAGGGAGCCUGAGAGAUGGCUACCAGGACCAAGGUCAGCAGCAGGCGCGAAAAUUAUCGAAGCCCGCCUAGGGGCGAUAGUGAGGAGACGUGUAUAACGAAGUACGUGUAAAGAACGUGCUAAUAACUGGAGGUCAAGUCUGGUGCCAGCAUCCGCGGUAAUUCCAGCUCCAGGGGUGUCUAUGAUGAUUGCUGCGAUUAAAAAGUCCGUAGUCAAUCUGACUGACUGGCCUGCAAUGUGAUUGAUUAAAGAACGAGCAGGGUUAGGAAAGCAGAGAAUCAGGAGCGACCGAGGGCUAGAGUAUUGAAUGGCGAGAGGUGAAAUUUGAUGACCCAUUCAGGAGUGACAAAGGCGAAGGCACUAGUCAAGGGCGAAUCCGAUGAUCAAGGACGUAGGCUAGAGUUUCGAAAACGAUUAGAGACCGGAGUAGUUCUAGCAGUAAACUAUGCCGACGCCGUGGUAUCGUUUUGGUAUUGCGGAAGAGAAAUCAAGUAAGGCUUUGGGGAGAGUACGCGCGCAAGCGAUAAAUUAAAGGAAAUGACGGAG